rnacentral:rRNA from 1 species
CCGGCACGGCAGAUCAGAUGAACCUUGGAAACAAAGAAUGUAAUACGAGGUUCUUGAAGGGCCGUUUCGUAAACCUCCACCUCUCUCCCCGGGACUCCGUGCGCCGGGUAUCCAGUUUAUCAGGGUUUCUUUUAGAAACGUGCAACAGUACACAUCUUUACUCUUCCGCCGGAGUCGGAGCCACGUCGCCGACGAGCCAUCGCUGACGCACCUCCCACCUCGGCGACGCCGCGGCCCCAGCCGCGCGCGCCUCCUAUCCAGCAACAGCCCCGCGCUCUCCGUCCCCGCCCGCCGCGCAGACCGCCAGCAGCCCACCACCAGUCCAAUUCGAGAAGGACUAGGUCGUCUCCGAGCACAACACCGCAGCCCGCGGGACUCCGGAUCGCCGACGAAAUCCCGAUCGAUCCCGCAGCAUCUCCGUUUCCAAAUAGAGCCAGGGGGGGAUACUUGACUGCCUCGUUGGUCGUUGCUUGCCGCGCUCGUCUUCGCAAUGGGGGGCUCCUCCGUGUGCGACGGGACUCUGUCUCUCGACGAGUUCAACGCCUCAGCCAAGGCCCUGGUCACCAAGUGGAGGGGGAUCGACGUCGACGCUCUUCCCGACUGGGAGUGGAGGCCUUGCUGCAAGAUGGGGGUGCCAUCUGAGACAGAGGGGUUCGUAGCUCUUGAAGGAGUGUACCGAAUUCGUGCAGGAGGCCAGGUUGAGGAGAGCAGUGACGACCCUGUCCCUGAUGAUGGUGCAGAGCAUGAUACCUUGGUUCAGAGCUCUAGGGAUAAUGUUCAUCUUUAUGAUUUCCAUAUUGUCUACAGCUUUUCUUACAAGGUUCCGGUGCUAUACUUUCAAGGCCUUCAGGCUGGUGGGCAGCUACUAACUUUAGAUGAGAUAAAAAAGGAUCUUCCUCCUCACUCACUUCAGUUGUUAAACAAAUCAAAGUGGACAUUUAUUACUCGAGAGGAGCAUCCCCACCUAAGUAGGCCAUGGUUCACCCUGCAUCCAUGUGGAACCAGUGACUGGAUGAAGUUGCUUCUUCAUAAACUGGGAGAUAAGGAUCGAUCUCUGCAAUACUUGCCAGCAUGGUUAUCUGUGGCCGGUCAGGCAGUAGGAUUGAAAAUCCCGCUUAAGCUUUAUUGCAGUUCAUAGGUUCACUCUUCUCCAGUAUGUAGUACAGUACUAUUUGGGUGAGUGAAAUGGGAAGUGUCCACCUCUUAUUUUGCUGUGUAUAUGUUCAAACAUUUCUCUUGGUAAUUUGACCAUUUUGCAGUGUAGUAAUAACUAAUUUUAUUGCAUAUGCAUGCAGUUGCACGUACUGCGGCAUAGUUGCAGGUUCAACAUGAUGAUCUAUCCUUGGGCAUGUAAUUGAUUAUUAUUCUUACAUCCUUUCGUUUCCCAGAUUUGUUUA